rnacentral:rRNA from 1 species
UACGAAGGGUGCAAACGUUGCUCGGAAUUAUUGGGCGUAAAGCGCACGUAGGCGGCUUUGCAAGUUCGAUGUGAAAUCCCUCGGCUCAACCAAGGAAGUGCAUCGAAAACUGCAGAGCUUGAGUACAAAAGAGGAUCGCGGAAUUCCCGGUGUAGAGGUGAAAUUCGUAGAUAUCGGGAGGAACACCAGUGGCGAAGGCGACAUCCUGGACCGGUAUUGACGCUGAGGCGCGAAAGCCAGGGGAGCAAACGGG